rnacentral:rRNA from 1 species
UACGAAGGGGGCUAGCGUUGUUCGGAAUUACUGGGCGUAAAGCGCACGUAGGCGGGUUGUUAAGUCAGGGGUGAAAUCCUGGAGCUCAACUCCAGAACUGCCUUUGAUACUGGCAACCUAGAGACUGGAAGAGGUUAGUGGAAUUCCCAGUGUAGAGGUGAAAUUCGUAGAUAUUGGGAAGAACACCAGUGGCGAAGGCGGCUAACUGGUCCAGCACUGACGCUGAGGUGCGAAAAGCGUGGGGAGCAAACAGG